rnacentral:rRNA from 1 species
AACGAACGCUGGCGGCGCGCCUAACGCAUGCAAGUCGAACGAGGUUAUUUUUUGAAACCGGCUUCGGUUGGUGGAAAGUUAUAAUCUAGUGGCGGACGGGUGAGUAACACGUAGGUAACCUACCCUAGGGAUCGGGAUACUCCCGAGAAAUCGGGGACAAUACCGGGUAUCAUUACAGGGCGAAAUUCCCAGUAAUAAAAGCUGCGAGCAAUCGUGGCGCCUUAGGAUGGGCCUGCGGCCUAUCAGCUUGUUGGUGAGGUAACGGCUUACCAAGGCUAUGACGGGUAACCGGACUGAGAGGUCGAUCGGUCACACUGGAACUGAGACACGGUCCAGACUCCUACGGGAGGCAGCAGUGGGGAAUUUUGCGCAAUGGGCGAAAGCCUGACGCAGCGACGCCGCGUGGAGGAAGAAGGCCUUUGGGUUGUAAACUCCUUUCGUGAGGGAAAAAGUCUCGAGCAAUCGGGAUG